rnacentral:rRNA from 1 species
GAUGAACGCUAGCUACAGGCUUAACACAUGCAAGUCGAGGGGAAACGACAGUUGAAAGCUUGCUUUUGAUGGGCGUCGACCGGCGCACGGGUGAGUAACGCGUAUCCAACCUGCCCACCACUUGGGGAUAACCUUGCGAAAGUAAGACUAAUACCCAAUGAUAUCUCUAGAAGGCAUCUGAAAGGGAUUAAAGAUUUAUCGGUGAUGGAUGGGGAUGCGUCUGAUUAGCUUGUUGGCGGGGUAACGGCCCACCAAGGCAACGAUCAGUAGGGGUUCUGAGAGGAAGGUCCCCCCACACUGGUACUGA